rnacentral:rRNA from 1 species
AGAGUUUGAUUCUGGCUCAGAACGAACGCUGGCGGCGCGUUUUAAGCAUGCAAGUCGAGCGGCAAGGGCCUUCGGGCCCCUAGAGCGGCGGACGGGUGAGUAACACGUGGACAAUCUGCCCCCCGGCCGGGGAUAGCCCAGGGAAACCUGGAUUAAUACCGGAUGAGACGGGACCCGCGGAGGCGGGAUCCGGGAAAGGCGCUGCGGCGCCGCCGGGGGAUGAGUCUGCGUCCCAUUAGCUUGACGGCGGGGUAACGGCCCACCGUGGCGACGAUGGGUAGCCGGCCUGAGAGGGUGUACGGCCACAUUGGAACUGAGACACGGUCCAGACUCCUACGGGAGGCAGCAGCUAAGAAUCUUCCGCAAUGGGCGAAAGCCUGACGGAGCGACGCCGCGUGAACGAAGAAGGCCGUGAGGUUGUAAAGUUCUUUUCGGGAGGGGGAACAACCGUGGCAGGGAAUGGCCGCGGGAUGACGUGAAUCCCGGAAUAAGCCCCGGCUAACUACGUGCCAGCAGCCGCGGUAACACGUAGGGGGCGAGCGUUGUUCGGAAUCAUUGGGCGUAAAGGGCGUGCAGGCGGUCCUGCAAGUCCGGCGUGAAAGACCCCGGCCCAACCGGGGGGGCGCGCUGGAAACUGCAGGGCUUGAGUACAGGAGGGGAUGCCGGAAUUCCAGGUGUAGGGGUGAAAUCUGUAGAUAUCUGGAGGAACACCAAUGGCGAAGGCAGGCAUCUGGCCAUGUACUGACGCUGAGACGCGAAGGUGCGGGGAGCAAACAGGAUUAGAUACCCUGGUAGUC